GCCCAUUAUUCUGAUCUUGUGUCACCUCAUUUUAGAUAAUGGGCUUAAAGUGAAUGCAAGUUUUAAAAAUGGUUAAAAAGGUUUAAUGAGAGUUCAUCUGAAAAGGCUCCCAUGGAUUAUACUAUUUCCUCAAACUGGCAGAAUAUGCCACUUCAUUAACAAGGUAUGUAUUUUUUAAGGGAGGGCAAAGGAAAAUAUAUUAUAACUGUGCUUUGCUCUAGUCAGACUGCACAUAUAAGACUACACCAAGUCAAGUCCUGAGGGCUACAUUUUAAAGGAGACAUGAGUGAACUAGAGUGUAUCCCAAGUAAGGUGACUAAGAUGGUUAAGUAUCUGAAAAUCUGGGGGCCUGCAACCGAGUGGGAGUGGAGUGGAGUGGCCAUUGUUGCUGACUCUUUUCUCCUCCCCAUGGUCCAGUCAGCAGGUUGAUUAGGCCCUCAGCCCUCGAGUGGAGACUUGUCUCUUAUUUAGUUCUGGCGGAGCGCCUGGCCGACAUGAGUGAUAUAGAAGAGAACAACUUCGAGGGCAGAGAGUCUCGCUCUCAGUCAAAAUCUCCAAUGGGAACUCCUGCUCGUGUAAAAUUGGAGAGCAGGUCAGGAUCUCGUAGUCCAUCAAGGGUUUUCAAACACUCUGAAUCCCAUUCUCGAUCAAGAUCAAAAUCCAGGUCAAGGUCAAGGAGGCCUUCUCAUAGACGUUACAUUCGAUCCAGAUUCCACUCUCACUCUCACAGCAGACGAUCUUGAAGUAGGUUAUAUACACCAGAAUACCAGUGACAAAGGAGCCGAAGUCAUUCUCCAAUGUGUAACCGGAGAAGACAUACAGGCAGCAGGGCGAAUCCAGAUCCCAAUACUUGUCUUGGAGGGUUUGGUCUCAGUUUGUAUACAACAGAGAGAGAUCUUCAUGGAGUAUUUUCUCGAUAUGGACCAUUGAGUGGUGUCAAUGUGGUUUAUGAUCAGCGAACUGGGAGAUCUCAAGGAUUUGCUUUUAUGUAUUUUGAGAGAAUAGAGGAUUCAAAGGAGGCUAUGGAAAGGGCAAAUGGAAUGGAGCUGGAUGGUGGAAGAAUUCGUGUGGAUUAUUCUUUCACCAAGAGAGCACACAUGCCUACACCAGGCAUCUACAUGGGCAGACCAACUCAUAGUGGUGGCGGUGGUGGAGGUGGCGGCAGAAGUUGAGAUUCUUACUGUGAUAGAGGAUAUGACUGUGGGUAUGACAGAUAUGAAGACUAUGAUUACCGGUACAGAAGAAUCUCACCUUCUCCUUAUUAUAGUCGUUACAGAUCACGACCAAGAUCUCAUUCCUACAGUCCAACACACUAUUGAUAAUGGAAUGGUUGCGGUUGAGAACAUUUUUUUCUCUUUAUUUUCUUUUUUCUUUCUCUUUUUUUCUGUAAUUCUGGAUUUCCCCAUGCUUCUGAUCCCUCCUACUCCUCAAAAAAAAAAAAAAAAACCUUUAAAAAACUCUGUGAUUUAUUCAGCAUCUACACUUUUGUCAAUUAUGUUGCUGUUUUCCACCCCUUUUAUUGUACUCUUAAAGGUAUAAUUGUUGUCAUUUGAGUAAACAUCUUGAGUAAAAAACGAAACCCCAGUGUUAUGCUUUGUAAAUGAUUUCUUUGCUUUCAUAGAAGAUAAACUCCUAGUUAAUCACAUGAGGAAAGAAAUGAUCUUUUAAAAGCUUCUUUUGUGUUAGAUAUUGUAUUAGACAUCUGCAUUUAUGAUGAGCUCCCCCUUUUUUUAACUUUCUUUUGGGGAAAAUAUUAAUAGUAACACUUGAAGUAGUUCAGUCAUGUCAGGUUUGUCUGGGGUGGCAUGGAGCAGUCAAAUAGUUGAGUUUAGAAAGUUUGAAGGUAUAGAAAACACUUGCCCAUUUCUUUGGAAGUACAGAAUUUUUGAACUUUAAAAAUUUAGUCAUUUUUAGAGAUGAAAAGCUCGUGGAUUCCUACAAAACCUGUAUUUGAAAUACAUCUGUGAAACCUUAAAAGCUUAAAGUGUGAUUUUUGUGUUAAACUUAUUCAAUUAUUCCCUUAAUCAGAGAAGGAAACCCUUAUUUAUUACCUAGAGCAAUUGUACAAUUUGCUAUUAGAAAUUUUGGUAUUGGGACAAUGGUUAAGCAGGUUAUUGUAUAGUAUAGAGUUCUUAGAAGAUACAUGUGGGGAAAUGUAGUCAUCUUUUAAAUAAAAGUUAAUUUCUUUGAAAAAAAAGUAUCUAGAAAUCUUGUUAUAUAAAGAACAUCAGAACGCAAGAUAUGUAGCCUGGAAAAGAUAAGACGUGGCAGGUAGAAGGGACAAGUAGGCUAUAAUAUAAUAAUAUUGACUACCUCAUUGUAGGUAACAUGGCACUUUAUAGCUUACAAUGUGUUUUAUACUUGUGUCCUUAUCUGCCUAAUAUCUGGAAGGCUGGCAAAUGAGGAAAGGGUUAGAUUUUAUUCUGUGCAGCCACAGUGGUUAGAGAUUACAGAGACAGAUUUCAGUUCAAUAUAAGAAAGGAUUUCCAAGCAUUUCAAUCUCCAUGACAAUAGAAUAACAACAUCAAAAACAACCAGAAUAUCCUAGUAGAAAUAAUAAGCACUAUACAUUUAUCAUGUGAUUUAAUCAUCACAACAGUCCUGUGAGGUAAAUCCUAUUAAUAUUAUUCCCAUUUUACAGAUGAGAGAACUAAAACCCAGAGGAGUAAAAUGAUCUGCCCAAGGCUAUACCACACCUGGUCAAGAGCUAGAAUUCAAAUUCAGGGAGCCUGAGUCUAGAGCCAUUGCUUGUAGGGUAACUGGAACAAUCACCUGCUAAGGUCAUUGCAGGGUGAAUGGCUUGCUAACCUCAGUUGGAAGUGGUACUAGAUCAAAGCUAAGAUAAUAGGAUUCUAGGAAUCUUGGAUGAUAGGCUGGUUUGGAUUCAAAACCCAGCACAGAGUUCUUCUGGAAGUGGCAUGGUUCUGGUUUAGUUCUAAGGCCCUAAAGCAGGUUAUUUCAGAGUGAAGGCAAGAGCAUCAGGCUCAAAGAAUUAGGAUAGACCUUUGGAAUAGUGGUAUAGUUCUAUAUGCAUUGGGAUUGGUUUUGGUUUUACCAAAAUUUGCAAUUUGAAGAUCCAUUAGAAUAUCAGCGUCAUCAUAACUGAAUUACAAAAGUAUCUGUGUUCUAUUUCCUAUUCCAAUCCCUGCCGUCAUCAACUGACGCAACAUAUAUUAAAAUCGCAAAGUUCACUAUAGUUUGACAGUUUUAAUUAAGGAAUUCUCCCAACUCAAACCAUAUAAAUUGAGAUUUCUACCUCUGGGGAAAUAGAGCAGUAGAGUUUCCCAUCAUUAAAGAUUUAAAAGGAAAGAAACCUGCCAUAUUGAAAGUCAGUUUAAUAGUUGCUAGGUUGAACUGUCUUCAGAGUACACAGUAUAUCAUCAAAAGUAGAGACAGAAUAUAAAAUAUGGAGUCAAAUCUAGAUGAAUGUCUGAAAAAUAAAUUGGACCAUGGAAAAUGUACUAAGGUCAUCAUAAUAAACAACCUAUAUUCAGAAGUACUCAAAUUAUCUCAGACUUUUACCAAUGGUUAUGCUUAUGGCACCUCAUGGGGAAGUGGGGGUGUGGCAACUAUAAACAGCUAAAAACAAAUGCCAACUCUGUAAAAUAUACCUGCUUAAGUAGGUGUCUACAAAUGUCUGCAGAUUCCCAUCCUUGGGAUUCUAACUGGAGCUUAAGGAGCAGAGGUUGCAACUAAGGGCCAUAGAGUUUCAACUGCUUUAGACACGUAGGCAACAGUCAGUCGGUGGCCUGAGGCAUGAGGGUGAGGUCAGGGGCAAAACCUGGAAAAUGCAUCUAGCUGGGUGGAAUGGUGGUGGGGCAGGGAUUAGUGGCAGGUAGGAUUCUCUUAUUUACUUCAUUAGAGACUCUGGGAGGUUAAGUGGCCUGUCCUACAUAACAUGAAAGGCAAAUUAGUAACAGACCACAGAGUCAAACCCAGGUCUAUAUGCCUCAAAAGAAUAAGCACUAGUCUGUAAGUCAUAAGAAACAGCUCUACCACUAACCAGCCCAGUGAUUCUGGAUCAAUUACAACCUAAGGCUCAGUUUUCCCAUCUAUAAGAGGGGUGGCAUUUGGGGGAAAAUUUUUAUUUUUUAUAUCAUCUUAUCCCAAAGGAAAUGCCAGAUGGAUUCAAGAUUUAAACGUAAUUAAAAUCAUAACUAUUACUAUGAGAAAUAGGUCCAUCCCUAAAAUUUGCAAGGCCAGGGGCAAGAAUAUAAAUGUGGGCUCUUAAUCCCCCUUCUUUCCCAUGUGUAGACCACACAGUCCACACAUCCAAGCUCUACCCACAUACUUCUUCCACCAAACAAGCACCCCUUAGACAUAGGAAAGCUCAAACCUAUGGCACAGUUCCCCCUUGAGAGGACAGACUCGGGGGAGAGGCCCUUACAAGCCCUGUAAGCACAUGGAACAGGGAAUCCUCAGCUUUCAAGUAUCUGGAGCGUAGUCUAGAAGAAGCAGGCAGGAAUUCUAGGUGGGCACAUCUACUCAGCCCUUAGAAUUCCUUGCUCUGUGAUAACAGACAUGUAAAAUAUAAACCAUAAAGGAAAAGGCUGAUACAUCUGAGUAUAUAAAAAUGGAAAAUUUAUAGACAUUAAAAACAAAUCAAUUACAAAGCAAAUAUCAAAACUGAGAAGAAACAUGUUCAACAUUAUGACAAAGAAUUACUAUCCUUAAUAAUUAAAUAACUUAUAAAUCAUUU